rnacentral:misc_RNA from 1 species
GACGAACCGGCCAAACGUUAUUCGGAAUCAUUGGGCUUAAAGGGUGCGUAGGCGGUGUCGUAAGUCGGGUGUGAAAUCCCUCGGCUCAACCGAGGAACUGCGCCCGAAACUGCGGUGCUUGAGGGAGACAGAGGCGAGCGGAACUGAUGGUGGAGCGGUGAAAUGCGUUGAUAUCAUCAGGAACACCGGUGGCGAAAGCGGCUCGCUGGGUCUCUUCUGACGCUGAGGCACGAAAGCUAGGGGAGCGAACGGG